rnacentral:rRNA from 1 species
UGAGUAACGCGUGGGUAACCUACCCCAAAGUCCGGGAUAACAGCGGGAAACCGCUGCUAAUACCGGAUGCCUUUACCUUGGGGCAUCUUGAGGUAAAGAAAGGUAACGCUUUGGGAUGGGCCCGCGUCCCAUUAGCUAGUUGGUGAGGUAACGGCUCACCAAGGCGACGAUGGGUAGCCGGCCUGAGAGGGUGGACGGCCACACUGGGACUGAGCCACGGCCCAGACUCCUACGGGAGGCAGCAGUAGGGAAUAUUGCGCAAUGGACGGAAGUCUGACGCAGCGACGCCGCGUGAGCGAUGAAGGUCUUCGGAUCGUAAAGCUCUGUCCUUGGGGAAGAAGGUCUUCGGACUUGACGGUAUCCAAGAAGAAAGCCCCGGCUAACUACGUGCCAGCAGCCGCGGUAAUACGUAGGGGGCGAGCGUUGUCCGGAAUUACUGGGCGUAAAGGGUGCGUAGGCGGCCCUUUAAGUCGGAUGUGAA